ensembl:snRNA
GUGUUGUAUGAAAGGACAGAAAGUUAACACUUCUCUUGAUAGGGAUGGAAGAGGCCCUGGGGCCUGACAACAAGCAUACGGGUAAGGCGUUGCCACCUACUUCAUGGCAUCCAACCAUCAUUUUUA